rnacentral:rRNA from 1 species
GAGUUUGAUUAUGGCUCAGGACGAACGCUGGCGGCGUGCUUAACACAUGCAAGUCGAACGUGAUUUUUGUGAAAAUUCUUUCGGGAAUGGAAGCGAAAUGAAAGUGGCGAACGGGUGAGUAACACGUGAGCAACCUACCUUACACAGGGGGAUAGCCGUUGGAAACGACGAUUAAUACCGCAUGAGACCACAGUAUCGCAUGGUAUAGGGGUCAAAGAUUUAUCGGUGUAAGAUGGGCUCGCGUCUGAUUAGCUAGUUGGAAGGGUAAAGGCCUACCAAGGCGACGAUCAGUAGCCGGUCUGAGAGGAUGAACGGCCACAUUGGAACUGAGACACGGUCCAAACUCCUACGGGAGGCAGCAGUGGGGAAUAUUGCACAAUGGGGGGAACCCUGAUGCAGCGACGCCGCGUGAGCGAAGAAGGUUUUCGAAUCGUAAAGCUCUGUCCUAUGAGAAGAUAAUGACGUUCNGGGAGCC